rnacentral:lncRNA from 1 species
UGUUGGAUAUUCCGCCUUCAUUGCGGUCCGCCCCCAUCUGCCUAAUUGCGGCAGAUGAGUUGCCUUCAUUGCAGCCUCCAACACCUUCAUUGUGUUGGGUGUGAAGGGGUGGAUUUAGUCCCACAUUGCUAAGAGAUAUGGCCUGUGUAGCGUUUAUAUAGCUUAGGCAACCCUCACCUUACAAGCCGGUUUUGUAAGGAUGAGUUAGGCCCAAUAUAAAAUCUGACA